UGAGCGGGAUCAAUGUAGAGCGUCGUCGGUCGAAGGAAGCAUAGGAGCGUCGGUGUCCGACUCCUCUAUCUCUCUCUCACAGCGCUCUCUCUGGUUUUUUUCGAUCGGUCUCUCUUUCUCUCUCUCAUCAAAGAAAGCAUAGUAGCAUCCGCCUCCUCUCUCUCUCUCUCUCUCUCUCUCUCUCUCUCUCUCCCUCUCCGUUUACAGAGGAUAGGUAGUUUUUGGUUCAAAUUCAGGAAAGUUUUCUGCGGAAUCGAGAGGUUUUGGUGGAGUCUCUGUUUGAAUCGAAAGUUGGGGUGAAAUUAGGGUUUUAUGUGUUUCGGUUCAGUCGAUGAAAUUAUGGUUUUGAUGGUUGAUUUCCAUCGCUUAUUAGAUGGCUUAUACUCGGAGGAGGAUGAAAUUCGGAACGCCAAACCGUCAGCGGCGCAACGAGGUUGUGUGGAAGGGUAUUGAUUACACAGAAGAAGAGGAAUGAUGGGUAAGGAGCUUCGAUCAGCUACACGGCGGCGUAGGCAACUGCGGCCUCGUGGGUUCUUUUCACGACGGAGUGCCGUAUUUCGAUGAUGAAUAAAGCCCAGUAAAGUCCUGUUGACAAACCCGUCUCUCUCUCUCUCUCCCUCUCUCUAUGUUGGUUGAGUUAGUGGAUCUGAUUUCUAGGACUCUUUAGAUUUGAUUUAUGCAUUAUUUUUUAUGUGUAGUGUUCUCUUUAUAAUUUUGAAGACCGUGGGUGUUACAAUGCUUGCUGCACCGCAUGUGUAACUAGGCCCCGACGUUCGCAACGUAAAGUUCUUUGGGGAGUUUGACUGUUGUGUUGGUGGUUCCUUCCGCCCCAACACUAAUUACUCCUCUCUUGCAACAGUUGGCCUCCUGCUCGUUAUAGGGGGUUUCGGGCAAUUGGUGGACGAUUGUUGGACUCUUCAUCCAGUCAUUCAGGAGUGGGGAAUAUUCCCUUUGUAUUUUUUGUAUUUGUAGCGUGUCAUCGAAGAAAGGGCAGGAGAGCUCGGCUCUCCUCUCCUCUCCUCUCUCUCUCUCUCUUUCUCUGUUUAUAGAGAAUAGAUAGUUUUCAAUUCAAAUUUGGAAAAGGUUUCUGCAGAAUCGAUAGGUUUGGUGGAGUCUUUGUUUGAAUCAAAAUUUGGGGGUGAAAUUAGGGUUUUAUGUGUUUCCGUUCAGUUGAUGAAAUUAGGGUUUUUAUGGUUGGUUUCUGCCGCUGAUUAUAUGACUUAUGGUCUGACACAAUAUAUAUACAUCUAUUUCUAUCGUACUUUUACAGAUUUUUUGUACGUAAUCUAUUCUCAAAUUGAGUCAAACGUAGCUGUGGUUUAUGCGACUUUGAUUAACGAUUUGAUCCAUGUGCGCUGGAAGUCAGCUCAAAUCCAAGAAGAACGCCAUGUCUAUACAAGUAUUUUGUUUUCUACUUUUACUGUUUCACAUGUACUUGAACUUUUUAUCAGGCCAUUCUCUCUUACUUUGAGCACUAAAUACUUGUACACAUUCAAUUGCUCUGGUGCAAUUCCUGGUUCCGGUGUGCUUAACUAGAUAAUCUUAUUGUUUAUGUCAGUUUUUCUCCUUGGUUUAAUGAAUUUGUAGCCAUGAGAUAAAUGCAAUAACUUAACAGCACUUGACUUUUUGGUAAAUUCAUAGAGAUGUGGAUCAACUUCUUUCAGAUGUUCAUCAUAUAUAUUACUAUGUCAAUGGCUUUAUCAAAUGUAUGCAGCAAUAGAUAUGAUAAUCAGGAUUUAGAAGCUAUUUUGCAGACUGAUUUGGUUAUGUAAGAGCACACAAUCUAGGACAAGCUAUUUUGCAGACAGCUAUGGUAUGUAAGAUCACAUAAUCUAGGAUAGUAUUUGCCAUCACCAGCAAAAAUGCUUUCAAAUUUUCUCUUUAUCUGGCCUAUCACAGUAUGCCGUAUGUUCCAAAUUCACUUGUCAUUCUUAUCUUUUGACAAGCUCUUCCUACUAGAGCUUUCAAUAUAAACCACCUGGCUUAUUCCUAAUAGUUUUAUCAAGCAUGCUUGUUAACUCUUCCCUCAUGUUAUUAGCUUAUUUAGGCUGCUAGAUUUUGUCAAAUGUCUUCCCCAAUCUCAUUGUUCUCAGUCUUUCAAGUCAACAUCACAAGUUUUAAAUAUUAGGUUAUAGUUUUGGGAAUACUCCUUUUCUUCAACUAGUUCGAAGUACCAACUUGUGCUGAUGUCCUUCAGGUUUGUGGAGGUUUAACUGGCUACACACUGUUUAAGUAGAACCAAUAUUUUGCAGGACCGAGUUUUGUCAAAGAUAGAUGAAUAUCAUGUACCAUAAUUUUAAACAGAGUACAUCUGAGACUCUGAGUCAUUGUUUUAAAGCUGAAAUAAACUAAGAAAGUAAGAGUGUAGUUCCUUUUUCUUUAAGAGCGGUGUACCUGUGUCAAGGCAACUGUAGGCUUAGGACAAUGAAGUGCAGCUACCGAACCACCAAUCAUCCCCGGCCCGCAUGAUUUUGCUCUGUCUAUGUCAUAUAUCCAUGGAGUGAAAUAUUUUGCUUCUGUUCAUGAAUUGUAAUUGGCCCCUACAAAAGCACUGUUGGAUUGCUAUUCUAAUUGUGUAUUUUUUUGAAAGUUUAAUAUGUGUUGUUAAAGUACGUAGUAGAAAUGUAGGGUUGGGUGUUCAUUAAAAUGUAGGCUAUUUCCUUUCAUUAUAACCUGUUUAAAUAUGCUUAUUUUUUGCAGGAAGGUGUUAACUGUUAAGCAAUAGCUCGAGUUACUAUUUUAAUCAUUCUUUAUUGUGUUUUGUCAUAUUUUGUAGGUAUGCGCGUAUUCAUCCUCAUGGUCAUAUAGUUUUCUGUACCAUUUUUCAUGAGUUUGGGAAGAAGGGGAUAUGAUGUCUGCAUUGACUCUAUUUGAAGCCUCCAAGCAGAAGUUGAGUGGUCCUAAUAUGUAUGCUUACCGCACAAUAAUUGAUGUUUGUGGUCUUUGUGGGGACUACCUCAAAUCUAGGUCCAUCUAUGAGAUACUCACCUGGUAAUCUUCCGAAAAAUUAAUUUCAUUCGUGAAAUUUCUUUUUCGGGUUCCUUUUAGGCAUUAUCUGCAAUCUAUUGAUCCAUGUACUACUGUGUAAGUGUAGUAAUUGGUAUGUGGAAAUUUGAAGUUUGUAUUGGCAAUGGUCCUUGUAUUGCUGCAAAAAUUGCUGCUUUUGCAGUCUUUGUCAUUUUUGACUCCUAAUUAUUUGGCCUUGGGCAAAUUUUGGUUCACAAUCACAUUGUAGAGUUUCUUAAUGAUAAUGAUCCAUACGGUUUGGUCCCUCGUGUUCUGUAGAUGAUUGCGUUGUGUUUAUGUAGGUGCCAACUGCCUAUCUAUACUAUUGUGGGUUUAGGGUGGCUUUCCUCACAUAUUGUUGUUCUGACAAACUUACCAAAUAGAAAAUUGGUCAUGAAUCCUGAUGACGCUUAACAUUUAUAUGCUUUGAUGUAAACAUUGUCAGUCCAUGUGCAUAAGUUAACUAAUCAUAGGAUGUGAGCAUGAGCUGUUUCUGCAACCAUUAUCAGCAGAGAUCCAGAUGUACAUCUUUAGUUGUUCUUUCAAAGUUGUCUGUGUAGUUUGGAAGAUAAUUUUUUUGUUUUGGUCCCAAUCUUCUAGCUAUAUAGAAAAUCAAGAGCUGAUUAAUUUAAAGUAGUGUUUGGCUAUGAUAUUGACAAGAUCAACAUAAACGAAUUGAAGGUAGGUCUUACACGCAGAUUAAAAAUGAGGGACCGAAGCCUAAUGAAAAAUUGGGCACGAUGGAGCCAUUCCAAGCUUUUAUUUACUCUGCAUAACUAUACAUGUUAAUUCAUAUAGAACUGCUUUUAUGCCACCAUAUAAAAUCCUGACAACAUGUGACCUUUUGAAUUGUUUACUUUAAUAUGUGACAGUAAUUUCAUUAAUUUAAAUUAAUGAUCCCACAAUAUGCCGUUCUCUUGUGACAAUCUACACAAAAGAUACUUGACUUGCAUUUUGAUUGGUUCAUGAAGUUUAGUACUCUACAUCUCGGUCAACACUUGGGGUGAUUAUUCUAAGAGCAAAUAUAUGCAUAUGAAGGCGUUCUUAGAUAUUUAUGCUGCCAUUACAUUUAAUUUUUGCUGCAGGAGUUACUUGCCAAAUAGGUCACCCCAAACGUUUAUGUCUUCAACAGCCUCAUGAAUGUGAAUGCCUGUGACUUGAGCUACGCAAUGCAUCUUUACGAGCAUAUGCGACAAGUGGAAUCAAUGAAUGGAGUAUUCAACUAAACAAACAAGGAGAACGAGAAAAUUGAGGGAGUGAUAGCAUAAAGAAUUCGAAAGAAUACCACCCCAGUAUUAGAGAAUCCAAUGCAGGAGGUAGUCGCCUAUUUUUCGAGCUUUAUCUUCGAUUCUUCCUUUUUUCAUCACUAAGGCAUAAGUACUCUUGAAUAUGCUGGCAUAUUGUCUUUUCAUCACUAAGGUAUAUGUACAUAUAGCCCCAUUAUGUAUGUAUGUAUGGUGUUACUAGAAUACUUUAAGUAGGGGAAUGGCAAAAAAAAAAGCAAAGGGGAAAAUUAUAUUUUCAAUUAAAGAAUUUUAUAAAAAUACGAGAGUUCUUGCUUUCGAGUCUUUGCUAAGUCGAGCCUUUGAUGUGGAGGCUUGUAGUGCCCAAAAUGGUCAGUCGGCCUUGGAUUAGCAAAGCGGGCCAUAGCCCAACUCUUGGGAGUAGGCUAGAUUGAUACUGGGCGCUUGGCGGGAAAAAAAGAGUAAAAAGUACAAGAAUUGAUGUCAUAAUUUUCUAUUCAUAAGGUGUCAUUAUGAGUCUCAUCCAUGAAGAUUUAGGAAUUCCUACCCAUUCCCGAUUUCAUUUUCUUGCAAAAACAAAAGAAAAUUGGGAGAAAAAGUACAAUUUAUAUUUCAACAAAUUCAUCCAUUUUCCCCGCAAUCUAGUUGGAUCAACUAAUGAAACUAUUCAAAAUCAUUUCUUGAUCAAUAUGAUGUUUGUGAGCAUUUGAGGAUUCAAUGAGAGAGAGGAUGGAGCAGGAUAGGAAAGGAAGCCAUGCAUUAUUUGCAAGGCGCAAUGGUGGAGACGAAAGCCGAAGGGGUAAUUCAACAAAAAGAAGUCUAGAAGCCAAGGCAAAUGCAUGGGAGAAAUCAGCCAUGGUGAAGCUCGUAAAAUGAAUUUGAGCAAGGAAAGGCCUCAAUGUGGAAUGGGAGUUCGAGGCAGACAUGCUCGCAACAUUCAGUGAGGAUCUUCAAUUAUGCAUGAAGGCUGUAUGGGCUCUUUAUCGGAUUAAUGAAAAGAUUGGCAAGUUUGUGUAGAUCUCCAAUCUGCAAGUGUUUAGCCAAUGUGAUGCUCUCAGAUAUUACACCGCUAUUUCUUAUACACGCUUGAAAGAGGGGAACGGAUGUUUCUAGAGCCCUCCCCCAUGGUUUGGUGAACGAUCUUCGGUGAUGUUGAUGGUGAUUGGGAUCUCUGCUGGUUGAAAUCUUUAGGAUUUAUGCUCUUUCUUCGACAGGUUGUCCACCGCUAUUCCUUGUACACGCUUCCAGGAGGGAAACAGAUGUUUCUAGAGCCCUCAUCCCUGGUUUGAUGAGCGAUAUUUGCCGAUUCCCUUGGUGAUUGGAACUUUUGCUGGUUGAAAUCUCAGGGGUGUAUGCUCUUGCUCCGACAGUACUAUUAUGGUGAUUCAUGCUCCCUUCAUCCGUUGGUUUUAUAAGGACCAUCCAAGUUGUCUGAAUAGUAAUCAACGCGAUUACUACGUCAUUACUCAUGGAUGUGAUGAGACAAUUGCUGCCCAAGCAGAGCACCAAGGAACGGAUCAUGCGCUUUACCAAGUCUGCCAUGACUUCAAGCGUGACUAUACAAACAUCUUAGGUCUGGCAUAUAAUCUAAUCUGACUAUACAAACAUCUCAGCUGGUAGAGUGGUUAGAUGCUCUGGUUCAUAACUCGUCCGUACGCUAUAGCAAUAUAGGUGUUGCUCACUGCUGGUAUUUGAAACACAUUCACGCACAACUUGAUCUACAUGGCUCAGGGGUAUGACUAUUGUGAUUGCUCUGUUUGUAUCCUCCUUUCCUUGUAUUUGGAUCUUCGUGCUUGUUCUUGCGGGUUGUCGAUCACCAUGUCUUCUUCUUCUUCUUCUUCUUCUUCUUCUGACAAGGCUGAAACGAUUGAAGAGAAACUAAAGCGGGGUUUGAUGUUGGAGAUAUACCCUAUAACACUAGGGCCUUAGGUGUCCCUGUCAGACCAAUUGACUUGGGCAAGGUUCCCGAGAGACUGGUGAUGAUUGAAAGUUUUUCAACCUUAGCUAUUUUAACGAGUUCAACGAAAGGAAGAAGACGAAGUAUCAGUUUGAGACGGUCCUUAAGGCAAACAGCAGGAUUUCUUGGGCUUGCGAUUGCAUGAUUUGGUAGAAAAAUGGAAGAAGGGAUUAGAGUAGUGAUUCGUUGAGACGACAACAAAAAAAAAAAUGAUACUUUAUACUUUUUUUAUGUGAAAAUUGUGAUAUAGUAUUGAAUUGGAGAUGGGUGGUGAUGAAAAAUAGGCAUGGGAGAAGUAUUCUUUUUUCAUUUUCCGUCGUCAUGAGCACAAAUGGAGUUGUUUCCAUCUAGCUGGACCACCAUCACCAGAAGUUACAUUGACAAUUCUAGCUAAUGUUUAUGGCCAGAGAAAUUGUAAUUUUUAGAGAUGUACAUACAGUUCUAAAAUUGCACAGCUCACGUCACUAUCAAAUGGAAUCAGUUGAAUCUCAUGCACUUUUAGAAGGUACCAGAUAAAUAAACCAUAUUUUCAAGAGAAUCUUGUGGCUUAGUUGAAUGGAUGGAAGAGGUGGUGGUCGUUUAUCUUGGAGCAACCCUGGUCAUUGAGAUGGAUAGGAUCUUCUAGUGGAUUGGUUUCGUGCUCCUCCAUCUUUUGGUUUCUAAUGGCUUUUUGCCAUUACUUUGAAGAAACUAACAUAUGCUUUUUUGUUUUUGGUAUAUUUGGUUUGGUUUAUUCUAUUUUAAGGUCAAGCAUGUUUUCUCUUAAAUUUUAACAUAUGCUUGUUUGUUUUUAGUAUAUUUGGUUUGGUUUAUUCUAUUUUAAGGUCAAGCAUAUUUUCUCUUAAAUUUUACAUACCAAGUAAGCAUGAAUCGUAUGGUUGAAAUAUUUUUGUAGUGUUCUUUUCAAAUUUCAAUUCCUAUUUGACACGUUAAACAGUUUCUAAAGUCUAUCUCUGACAGAAGAAAGUUCAUUACAGGUUACUCGAGUUAUUCCCUCCAUCUGUAGAGGUAGCCAAUCAUAGCACUGAGUUACCUUCUUGCACUACGUACAGGUACAUUUUCAGUGGCAACUGAAUACAAUGACAGGCAUAUGUAGGUCGCGGAGCUAACUACUCCAUCUGUAGAGGUGCUUUAAGCGACUCUAAGGACAUCAAUAGACCGCAGAUGUUAAUUAACAAACAUUGAAGGUGGAGGAAAUGAUCUGUUUGGUUUUUGAAAAGCUCUUCAUUUUAUUGGCUGUUUGCUAAGCGUUUUCUUUUUAUUGAGCAAAAUGGGUAAAGAGAGGACAAUCAGUGCUUCAGAAACCGGAAACACCCCUGGCUCGACUGCAGGAGCCCCUUCCCGCUAAAGAGCCGGAAAAUAAUGGCCUAGACGGACCCGACAAUGGCAGGAGAAGCAUGUUGUCGUGAAUCAUAUGAAUACGGUUUUACCAAGCUGUCUAAUUGAUCUCGAGCGAUGUUUGAAUCCCGUCAAUUGGUUAGUGAGAUCUUGCACAUCAAUCUCUAGGGUCUCUUUUUCAUCAUUUCCGGUGAAGCUUACAACCUCGAAGUUGAAGUGCGCUUCUGCAAGCAACUAUGGGCUGCUGAUUUUCAAAGCCUGCUGUAUUGAGCAUUGGUGUCUUUCGAUCACGAAGAGGUUACAUCACUCUAUUUGUCUGUAGAUAUGCUUCCAUUUCCUCUGAAUCUCACUUCUUUCAAGCUCUCAAUUGAAUCCUCCUGCUCAAAGGUCUAGGAUAUUACUGGUGUAAAUUGCAGUAGCUGACAAACCCAAAUGGGUCCUCUUGAGUAUUUUUUGUUAGUGCUGUUUUCCCCUAGAGAUGUGGGUAGGAAGGAGUGGACAUGAUGAUUAUUGUUGAAGGGACAUGGAAAUUGUCAAACAUCAAAUAGGAUUGUCUUUUUGAAGCUUGGACCAGCAAAUGCUUGUAUUUCUCAACCUGAAGUGAAGCAUUCGUCAGGGCAAUCUUCUCAUCACAAGGAAUGAAACUUGUAUUCGUUGAGUUGGAUCAGGCAACUAGCGAUCCUGAAGGCAGUGCUAUGCAUAAAAUUGUGAAAGAUGCUGAUAGGCUUAUCAUGCUUAGUAAAUAAGCUAGUCAAGAUAUUUGACUCAAGUCUCACAGGAGCCUCUUCAAGGUCUUGUGAACGUGUUCUCUAUGUAGUAAUGCAGGUAAUUUAUCGUCAACAUCUCCCUAGUCUACUUGAUGUUGAUCGUCAUUUGAUUGCAAAAUGUCAGUAACAAAAAAGAAGUUUUUGCAUGGAAAUUGGCUCAUGCAACUUGCCAAAAAAUAUAAAUGAAUGUUGUCUCAUAAGGGAAAAAUACCAAUGUAUAUGGUUCAACCGUUCAAAUGAGAAAACAAAAUUGUUCUUUACACAA